UGUCAAAGUCAGACUGCCGGGUACUGGGCUCUGGCUCCACAGUCCGACUCCACACUCACUCUGUUUUAGCAUCCUUCAUUGAGUAAGAAUGGCCUCCACAUAGCUGUGCCAUAUUUUGGGAAACAUAAGGCUCUUCCAGAGUUUUGCAUUCAGCUUGAUCAAUGACAGCUGCCUAAGGAACAGUGACCAAGAUUGGAUGCAACAUAGAAGCUACGUUAUUUGCUUGGUAAUCUGAUAGUAGUAGAUUUGCAUUCAGCUUGACCAGUGAGAGCUGCCUAAGGAACAGUAACCAAGACUGGAUGCAACAUAGAAGCUACAUUAUUUGCUUGGAGUUAUGAAAGCUGGGGACCUCCUCUCCGGCCAGCUGCGGAGGUGGCGAUAAGGGCCUCGCAACCUUCCACACACAUUGGACCACAUGCCUUAUCACCAUCUCAAAAUUAUAACUCCCUCCAGUAGUUACGAAGGCUGGGGACCUAAUUUCAAGCCAGCUGCAGAGGUGGUAAUAAGGACCUCCCAACCUUCUGCACCCACUGGUGCCACACCUCCAGCCAGCUGCUGAGGUGGCAACAAGGACCUCCCAACCUUAUGCACCCACUGCCUUAUCA